CCUACGGGGGGCAGCAGUGAGGAAUAUUGGUCAAUGGACGAGAGUCUGAACCAGCCAAGUAGCGUGAAGGAUGACUGCCCUAUGGGUUGUAAACUUCUUUUAUAUGGGAAUAAAAUGUUCCACGUGUGGGAUUUUGUAUGUACCAUAUGAAUAAGGAUCGGCUAACUCCGUGCCAGCAGCCGCGGUAAUACGGAGGAUCCGAGCGUUAUCCGGAUUUAUUGGGUUUAAAGGGAGCGUAGGUGGAUUGUUAAGUCAGUUGUGAAAGUUUGCGGCUCAACCAUAAAAUUGCAGUUGAAACUGGCAGUCUUGAGUACAGUAGAGGUGGGCGGAAUUCGUGGUGUAGCGGUGAAAUGCUUAGAUAUCACGAAGAACUCCGAUUGCGAAGGCAGUUCACUGGACUGCAACUGACACUGAGGCUCGAAAGUGUGGGUAUCAAACAGGAUUAGAUACCCUAGUAGUC
rnacentral:rRNA from 1 species